GCAUGGGUAGCUCAGUUGGGUAGAGCAUGGUGCUGGUAACGCCAAGGUCACAGGUUCGAUCCCUGUAUGGGAUAGCUGCAUGUU